rnacentral:misc_RNA from 1 species
AAGUCGUAACAAGGUCUCCGUUGGUGAACCAGCGGAGGGAUCAUUACAGUGACUUUACCGUUAACCAUGUGAAUACAUACCUUUCGUUGCCUCGGUAGGCGCUAUGGUGCUGCUGUGCCAUGGCGUUGAGCCUGCCGGUGGCCCCUCAGACUCUGUUACAAGCUAUACUCUCGAGUCAUAUUCAAUAAGUCAAAACUUUCAACAACGGAUCUCUUGGUUCUG